rnacentral:rRNA from 1 species
ACUCAAAGGAAUUGACGGGGGCCCGCACAAGCGGUGGAACAUGUGGUUUAAUUCGAUGCUACGCGAAAAACCUCACCAGGGUUUGACAUACAGGAAGUAGUGAACUGAAAGGGGAACGACCUGUCAAAUCAGGAGCCUGUACAGGUGCUGCAUGGCUGUCGUCAGCUCGUGUCGUGAGAUGUUGGGUUAAGUCCCGCAACGAGCGCAACCAUUUUCUCUUGUUGCCACCUUACUUAGUCGAAAGAUUAGGUGAGAGCACUCUAGAGAGACUGCCUGGGAUAACCAGGAGGAAGGUGGAGAUGACGUCAAGUCAGUACGGCCUUUAUGCCCUGGGCUACACACGUGUUACAAUGGGAAGUACAGAGGGUUGCCAACCCGCGAGGGGGAGCUAAUCUCUUAAAACUUUCCUCAGUUCAGAUUGAAGUCUGCAAUCCGACUUCAUGAAGCCGGAAUCGCUAGUAAUGGCAGAUCAGCACGCUGCCGUGAAUACGUUCCCGGGCCUUGUACACACCGCCCGU